rnacentral:rRNA from 1 species
AGUGAACGCUGGCGGUAGGCCUAACACAUGCAAGUCGAACGGCAGCACAGUAAGAGCUUGCUCUUACGGGUGGCGAGUGGCGGACGGGUGAGGAAUACAUCGGAAUCUACUUUUUCGUGGGGGAUAACGUAGGGAAACUUACGCUAAUACCGCAUACGACCUACGGGUGAAAGCAGGGGAUCUUCGGACCUUGCGCGAUUGAAUGAGCCGAUGUCGGAUUAGCUAGUUGGCGGGGUAAAGGCCCACCAAGGCGACGAUCCGUAGCUGGUCUGAGAGGAUGAUCAGCCACACUGGAACUGAGCCACGGUCCAGACUCCUCCGGGAGGCAGCAGUGGGGAAUAUUGGACAAUGGGCGCAAGCCUGAUCCAGCCAUACCGCGUGGGUGAAGAAGGCCUUCGGGUUGUAAAGCCCUUUUGUUGGGAAAGAAAAGCAGCAGGUUAAUACCCCGCUGUUCUGACGGUACCCAAAGAAUAAGCACCGGCUAACUUCGUG